rnacentral:rRNA from 1 species
CGCGUAGGCGGCCUGGUAAGUCAGAUGUGAAAGCCCGGGGCUCAACCCCGGAAGUGCAUUUGAUACUGCCAGGCUUGAGUAUGGGAGAGGGAAGUGGAAUUCCUGGUGUAGAGGUGAAAUUCGUAGAUAUCAGGAGGAACACCGGUGGCGAAGGCGACUUCCUGGACCAAUACUGACGCUGAGGCGCGAAGGCGUGGGGAGCAAACA